GGACGAGUCAGGGGCUGGGGAGCUGACCGAGGAGGAGCUCCGACAAAUCACAGAAGAAGACUUCUACGACAAGCUGGCCUCCUCCAUCGCCCCCGAGAUCUACGGCCACGAGGACGUGAAGAAGGCGCUGCUGCUGCUGCUGGUGGGCGGCGUGGACCGCAGCCCCCACGGGAUGAAGAUCCGAGGAAACAUCAACAUUUGCCUCAUGGGGGAUCCCGGCGUGGC